AUACGUUUGUUUAGGAAGAGACUGGAUUUCACUUGUCAACUUACCCCAUCACCACGAGUCAUUUAAUGUUGGUAACGCCAGCCACGAUUUUUCGUAUCUAUAACACCCCUUCUUCCAUUGAAUUCUACCUACAAAUAACUGAAGGCUCACAUUAUUUUGGAAUAUGGACUUCCGCCUCUUGUGGAGACUUGAGAUUGCUCUUAAGCUGAUUUCCCAAACAAGGACUGCAAUGUGUGUUCCCCAUUUUAGAUUCAUGGAGCUCACCCUAGAUGAGUCCUUUGGUUCGGUGGUUCGGAAAAGUCUCCUUGUUCCUUCCCCAAACUCAAUGCUCCAAGAUCUCUUGUGCUUGUGCCAGUGUCUCAUGUAGAAUAUUGCCUGAUCUCUGCUCAACAAUCUGAGUCACAAGGUUGAUGCCUUCACAGAUGACAGAAUAGAAGUUCCCUGAGUACCUGAGUCUGUCUUUGCUGUUUCUAAGGUAGUGAUUAUUAAAAUGUCAAGGGAAAUGAAA
rnacentral:lncRNA from 1 species